rnacentral:lncRNA from 1 species
CUAGUUGCCUAAUAUACGAAAGACACACCAUUCCUUUUUUUAUGUGCUUAUUUAUGAGAUUCUAUAGAAAUUAUAUCCUUUUAGGGUUCUUUGUUGGGUCGUAAGGACUAACAUGUAAACCCAAUCCAAGUGAUUCCAAUUUUAGAUCCUAAACUCGACAAACUAAGUUGUCAAUUGAGAGAUUAUGAGGUAAACAUGAGAGAAGGUAAGAGAGAGUUUUUAUUUUUUCUAACUUCUCCUUCCAGGUACUUUGAAAUGUUUCCAAUCAUCGCAAAAAC